GAAUCCAGAAGGCCUUUCUCACUCUUUUAACAAAUACUUACUGGGACCUCGGUAUCUGUCAGCCCCUGAUCUUCAAGCUGAGGAUAUCAAGGUCCACUUCCCCACCUCCAACCCCCACUCAUACCAGGAGGAGGAGGGCGACCUUUAUCACCAGCGAUCAGGUUGCAUUAACAGAACAGAAGAGGGUAAAGGAACAGUGCUUUCCUCCCCUACUGAGGCAAGGAAGUGGGGAGAGGGAGGGAGAGAAGGAAGAAGAAAAGGCUUUCUGACUUGAGACUGGCAUCAGAUAAUUGCUUUCCUUCCAGUUGGACAAUAAAUAAGAUGGGAGGAAUUGACAAGCCCAGGAGACCAGAGGCUGACUUGGCUCCUUAAAGGCCCAUCAUUUUCUCCAUCCUUUAUUGAACCAGGGAAAUGCUAUUAAAAUCAUCAUCUCCAGGCAAGGAAAUAUCCUUUUUUACUUGGUUUGGUACUUGGAAGUCAUUUGUUUUCUAAUGAUGUUAAAUUCUACCUCUGGCAUUUACAUAUAUCUAAUUUCAAAAGGCAGAAACAGGGAGAAGGCCAAGUUUUUUAAGGCUCUUGGGUUCAUUUUUGAAAACUGUCCGUGCUUCCAGGGCCAAAGAAUUCUACCAGUUGAAAUAAAAUUUUAUAUUCGCAACCAAAACUAAUAAAGCUACAUUCCAC
ensembl:lncRNA